rnacentral:lncRNA from 1 species
CCCUGUCCCUCUCGACUCUCCCGCUGGCUAUUUUUAAUCGCAAUCAACGAGAGAAUUGCCAGCGAAUUACUUGCAAGAAAUCGCCGCAUAACUGAUAAAAACGCAAUGUGAACGAUGUUUAGCUAACUGUUUUUGCUGAGAAAACGAUCGAAAAAUCGUUUAUUUCACAUUUGGUACGUUUUACGAUCGAUGACGACGAUCAGCGGAUAGUGUGCAAGUAGGCGUAUUUCAUUUAGGACAAACAUAAAGCGAUGAUAAACAAUGCGAACAUUUUACCGAGAUUUCCGGGCCCCUCUGAGCACUCCGGGCCCCGGGUAUUUCNNNNNNNNNNNNNNNNNNNNCCCCCUCUCGCCAGCCUUGAUCACUGGUGUCAUGGUGAUAACCAUGCAGAUUCCAGGUCCAGGA